rnacentral:rRNA from 1 species
AACGAACGCUGGCGGCAGGCUUAACACAUGCAAGUCGAACGCAUCCUUCGGGGUGAGUGGCAGACGGGUGAGUAACGCGUGGGAACGUGCCCUUCAGUUCGGGAAAACCCAGGGAAAAUUGGGCUAAUACCGGGUACGUUGGAGAGAAGAAAGAUUUAUCGCUGAAGGGUCGGCACGCGUCGGAUUAGAUAGUUGGUGGGGUAAUGGCCCACCAAGGCGACAAUCAGUAGCUGGUCUGAGAGGCAGAUAAGCGACACUGGGACUGAGACACGGUCCAAACUCCUACGGAAGGCAGCAGUGGGGAAUAUUGGAAAAUGGGCGCAAGUCUGAUCGAGCCAUGCAGCGUGAGUAAUAAAGGCCUUAGGGUUAUAAAGCUCUUUCACUCGGGACGAUAAUGACGGUACCGGAAGAAUAAGCCCCGGCUAACUCCGUGCCAGCCGCCGCCGUAA